AGUGAACGCUGGCGGUAGACCUAACACAUGCAAGUCGAACGGCAGCACAGUAAGAGCUUGCUCUUACGGGUGGCGAGUGGCGGACGGGUGAGGAAUACAUCGGAAUCUACUUUUUCGUGGGGGAUAACGUAGGGAAACUUACGCUAAUACCGCAUACGACCUACGGGUGAAAGCAGGGGAUCUUCGGACCUUGCGCGAUUGAAUGAGCCGAUGUCGGAUUAGCUAGUUGGCGGGGUAGAGGCCCACCAAGGCGACGAUCCGUAGCUGGUCUGAGAGGAUGAUCAGCCACACUGGAACUGAGACACGGUCCAGACUCCUACGGGAGGCAGCAGUGGGGAAUAUUGGACAAUGGGCGCAAGCCUGAUCCAGCCAUACCGCGUGGGUGAAGAAGGCCUUCGGGUUGUAAAGCCCUUUUGUUGGGAAAGAAAAGCAGCAGGUUAAUACCCCGCUGUUCUGACGGUACCCAAAGAAUAAGCACCGGCUAACUUCGUG
rnacentral:rRNA from 1 species